CUGUCCUUCACACUGUUUGGGCCUAAAUCUAGCACGUCAAAGUUCAAAAGACAGGCCCAUGGUAAAAUUACCUGCCCAGCCCAAAAAGCUUGAGGAUAACAAAAAUUAGGAUCCAGACAGAUUGGGCUUCACACCAGCACCCAGCCCAAGAAAGACCAAACGUGGAAACUGUCAUUUGGGCUUCAAGGAUCAGUCCAUAAUUUUUUGGGUUCAAACCCAAGGGAUUAAAAACAUACCCACGUGACUACCUCAGCUUUGAAAAGUCAGCAAUUCCAACUAAAAUAAAAAUAUGAGAGGGACAUCUCUGAAGCACUGCCAA
rnacentral:lncRNA from 1 species